UACGAAGGGGGCUAGCGUUGCUCGGAAUCACUGGGCGUAAAGCGCACGUAGGCGGACUCUUAAGUCGGUGGUGAAAUCCUGGAGCUCAACUCCAGAACUGCCUUCGAUACUGGGAGUCUUCGAGUCCGGGAGAGGUGAGUGGAACUGCGAGUGUAGAGGUGAAAUUCGUAGAUAUUCGCAAGAACACCAGUGGCGAAGGCGGCUCACUGGCCCGGUACUGACGCUGAGGUGCGAAAGCGUGGGGAGCAAACAGG
rnacentral:rRNA from 1 species